CACAAGAUACAGUAAAGGACAAUAAUAUUAAAACCGGGUACACAGAACGAGAGAAAAAGACCCAGAAGAAGAUGAAGAAGCAGAAGCUGAAGAAGGUAGAGACGAUGCUGAAGUUGUUGUCUUGAGGGACCCAUUGGAGCUGUUCGGCAUGGACAUAAUGUGGAAUAUACUGAGCUUUGUUGAUGCACGCAGCGGAGUACUCUCCCUCCAAGGGCCUCCUUGUCUCCCAUGCCUGUAACGUCGUCGCUUCCAGCGAUCGCCUCUGGAGUUCCAAGGCCGCCCCAGAAUACUGGUGAAACCUUGAUCCUUAUUGGAAGGGAACUGGCUCCCUCAUGCACCGCUACUUUCAUCCUGAUGGCAGCCAAACUGCAGAUCAUAGUGAUGUAGUCUGGGGCAGCCAUGAAUCCUGUUAUUGCACCAUUACUAGUAUUCUUGAAAAUUGACCAAUGAGGGAACACUAUGUAAGGAUAAACAGAUGGCCGCAAAUGUUUGUGGUCAGAAAGCAGGACUGGAGCUGGGAAAUGUCCAAUCACCUCUUUUGCUACACAAGCAUUCUGGAUUCUGAUAAAGCAGAUGGGACUGGACCGCUAUUUGUAGUUAGAUAAAAUAAUUUUCUUCGUUGUACAGUUUGUAUGAGACAUGUUAGAAUUUUAUUAUCAUACUUAUCUAAGUAUCUAAGAAAUGAUUAAUGUUUAGUUGUGUAAGCAGUUUUGUAUUUUGUACAGAAUUUU